rnacentral:rRNA from 1 species
AGAGUUUGAUCAUGGCUCAGGAUGAACGCUGGCGGCGUGCCUAACACAUGCAAGUCGAACGGCCUCGCAAGAGGCAGUGGCGCACGGGUGCGGAACACGUAGCUGACCUGCCCCAAAGUGGGGGAUAACCGGCGGAAACGCUGGCUAAGACCGCAUACGCUGGUGAGGGCCAGAAGCUCACCAGGAAAGCUUGAUGCGCUUUGGGAGGGGGCUGCGGCCCAUCAGGUGGUUGGUGGGGUAACGGCCUACCAAGCCGAAGACGGGUAACGGGUCUGAGAGGAUGACCCGUCACACUGGGACUGAGACACGGCCCAGACUCCUACGGGAGGCAGCAGUGAGGAAUAUUGGUCAAUGGGGGCAACCCUGAACCAGCGACGCCGCGUGGGUGAUGAAGGCCUUCGGGUCGUAAAGCCCUUUUCUGUGUGACGAGCAAGGACGGUAGCACAGGAAUAAGCCUCGGCUAACUACGUGCCAGCCGCCGCGGUAAUUC